UUGUUAUCCGGCGCCCGCCCCUCUUUUGUUAAGCGUCCGACGCCACCGCAAUAAUUUAAACGAACACCAGCCAGGGCGCGGAGCAAGAUCCACCAAGCGACGACGACGCUGUGCAGACACUUACUUUCUGUGGAGCUGACAGGACUGCAUAGUUAAACUGUGGGAACGUUGAAGUGGAAAGAAUGUGGCGCUCCUAUCGGUUGGAGGACCACAGGAUUGGAGGCAAUGAUGCUCAAUACAUCACAUUUAGAUCGACAUAAACAAUUAACCCAUUGUUUAAUAAUGCAUGUUAUAGACUAAGAGGUUUCACAAAUAGAGACAACUCCAAGUUAUGGAGCGGAAGAUUUGGAAAGGGGAUUGUUAUGUGUUCUGGAUGGAUUAUUUUCAUUCAUUCGUUCACGGAAUCUGGGUAACACUGGCUAGACCAGCAUUUAUUGUCCAUCCCUACUUGCCCAGAGGGCAGUUGAGUGUCAACCACAUUGCUGUGGGUCUGGAACCACAUGCAGACCCAGACCAGGGAAGGAGCCAGUGACACCCACCUCCCACCAGUGAAUAAAUAAAAGAAUAAAAAUAAUGGCAAAAAUG